UUCCAGGGCUUGUGUUUGAUCACUCUCUGU
rnacentral:piRNA from 1 species